UCCUCGAUGGUCUAACGGUUAUGAUUUCCGCUUGUCAAUCCUUAAUAGAGGAACAAGCGCGGGAGACCUGGGUUCGACUCCCAGUCGGGGAG
rnacentral:tRNA from 1 species